CCAAAUUUGAAACACCAGUGACUUCAGAGAGGAAAUAAGUUGCGUGUUUGUAUGUAUGCAUGUAUGCACACAAGUGUAAGCUACCCAGCUCUUACAUGGAAAGACCAAAGAAAAUACCAAAUAAUAUUUGCAACCAGGGAAAAGACUACCCAAAUUUACUUUAAUCUUUGAACAAACCAAGACAUGCUGACAAACCAAUGAAGAGAACAUAGCCAAGAAUACCAAUCAGGAGGCCAGUCAGCAGCCUUAUGAGAUGGCGGGACCCAAAGCAGUUGGCUCAUGCAGAGGGUGAAAAACGCAUUCUUGAAAGAGAGGAAGCUGGGAAGUAAAUCCAACACAGACGUGGAUGUUAAUAAAUAAACAGCAAACAAAUUUCACUGGCGCUGGUGUGAGCCCCGGGCCUGACUUCCACUUUCUGGUCCCGUCAGAGGGUGUCAGAGCAUUAGCCCCACCAAAUGGUCAUCAUCCACCCUGGAUUCGAGGAUUCAUUUUCAAGGCAAACCACCAAGACAGCUAUUUAUCAUCAUGGAGACUCAAAGAAAUCCAGAAAACAGACAAGUGCCAGACCUAUGCGUGUUUAUGGGGAGCAGUGCCCAGAGAAGGUUACCCCAACAGUAAAUAAG